rnacentral:tRNA from 1 species
GCCAUUAUAGCUCAGUUGGUAGAGCACUUCCUUGGUAAGGAAGAGGUCGGCAGUUCGAUUAUGCUUGAUGGCUCCA